UACGUAGGGCGCAAGCGUUGUCUGGAAUUAUUGGGCGUAAAGAGCUCGUAGGUGGCUUGUCGCGUCUGCCGUGAAAACCCGAGGCUCAACCUCGGGCGUGCGGUGGGUACGGGCAGGCUAGAGUGUGGUAGGGGAGACUGGAACUCCUGGUGUAGCGGUGAAAUGCGCAGAUAUCAGGAAGAACACCGAUGGCGAAGGCAGGUCUCUGGGCCAUUACUGACACUGAGGAGCGAAAGCAUGGGUAGCGAACAGG
rnacentral:rRNA from 1 species